UACGUAGGGUGCAAGCGUUGUCCGGAAUUAUUGGGCGUAAAGAGCUCGUAGGCGGUUUGUCGCGUCUGCUGUGAAAUCCCGAGGCUCAACCUCGGGCUUGCAGUGGGUACGGGCAGACUAGAGUGCGGUAGGGGAGAUUGGAAUUCCUGGUGUAGCGGUGGAAUGCGCAGAUAUCAGGAGGAACACCGAUGGCGAAGGUAGAUCUCUGGGCCGUAACUGACGCUAAGGAGCGAAAGCGUGGGGAGCGAACAGG
rnacentral:rRNA from 1 species